AACGAACGCUGGCGGCAGGCUUAACACAUGCAAGUCGAACGCCACCUUCGGGUGGAGUGGCAGACGGGUGAGUAACGCGUGGAAACAUACCUUUUGCUUCGGAAUAUUCCCGGGAAACUGGGAGCAAUACCGAAUGUGCCCUGCGGGGGAAAGAUUUAUCGGCAAAAGAUUGGUCCGCGUUAGAUUAGGUAGUUGGUAGGGUAAAGGCCUACCAAGCCUACGAUCUAUAGCUGGUCUGAGAGGAUGAUCAGCCACAUUGGGACUGAGACACGGCCCAAACUCCUACGGGAGGCAGCAGUGGGGAAUAUUGGACAAUGGGCGCAAGCCUGAUCCAGCCAUGCCGCGUGAAUGAUGAAGGCCUUAGGGUUGUAAAAUUCUUUCACCGGGGACGAUAAUGACGGUACCCGGAGAAGAAGCCCCGGCUAACUUCGUGCCAGCCGCCGCCGUAA
rnacentral:rRNA from 1 species